UACGACUCUCGGCAACGGAUAUCUCGGCUCUCGCAUCGAUGAAGAACGUAGCGAAAUGCGAUACUUGGUGUGAAUUGCAGAAUCCCGUGAACCAUCGAGUCUUUGAACGCAAGUUGCGCCCGAAGCCGUUAGGCCGAGGGCACGUCUGCGUGGGCGUCACGC
rnacentral:rRNA from 1 species